AACAUCGCGCACCUGCGGGAACCUGCGGAGGGAUCAUUAAUUGGACAGAGAGGUUGCCCUGGCGCGCCGGUUCCCGGCGCCUGGGGUGGUCUUGCUGCGCCCACCCACAUCCGUGUCUUUGGUGGAUUGUCUGUUUCCUCGGCGAGCUCGCUCGCCAAUGGGGACCAACACAAACACUUUGUAGUUGUAGUUGUACUGUCAGUAAACAAACCUAUUAAAACUUUCAGCAAUGGAUCUCAG
rnacentral:misc_RNA from 1 species